GAUGAAGAACGUAGCGAAAUGCGAUAAGUAAUGUGAAUUGCAGAAUUCAGUGAAUCAUCGAAUCUUUGAACGCACCUUGCGCCCUUUGGCUAUUCCGAAGGGCAUGCCUGUUUGAGUAUCAUGAACACCUCAACUCUUUAUGGUUUUCCAUGAAGGGCUUGGACUUUGGGGGUCUUGCUGGCCUUUAGUCAGCUCCUCUCAAACGAAUCAGCUUUCCAGUGUUUGGCAGCGUCACAGGUGUGAUAACUAUCUCUUGUGGUUUUCUGCCAGGUAAUCCUCAGUGAUGGGGAUUCGCUGGGGCUUAUAAAUGUCUCUCCUCAGCGAAGACAGCUUUGUGAACGUUUGAUCUCAAAUCAGGUAGGACUACCCGCUGAACUUAAGCAUAUCAAUAAGCGGAGGA
rnacentral:misc_RNA from 1 species